rnacentral:rRNA from 1 species
GAUGAACGCUGGCGGCGUGCCUAAUACAUGCAAGUCGAGCGAACAGACGAGGAGCUUGCUCCUCUGACGUUAGCGGCGGACGGGUGAGUAACACGUGGAUAACCUACCUAUAAGACUGGGAUAACUUCGGGAAACCGGAGCUAAUACCGGAUAAUAUAUUGAACCGCAUGGUUCAAUAGUGAAAGACGGUUUUGCUGUCACUUAUAGAUGGAUCCGCGCCGCAUUAGCUAGUUGGUAAGGUAACGGCUUACCAAGGCAACGAUGCGUAGCCGACCUGAGAGGGUGAUCGGCCACACUGGAACUGAGACACGGUCCAGACUACUACGGGAGGCAGCAGUAGGGAAUCUUCCGCAAUGGGCGAAAGCCUGACGGAGCAACGCCGCGUGAGUGAUGAAGGUCUUCGGAGCGUAAAACUCUGUUAUUAGGGAAGAACAAAUGUGUAAGUAACUAUGCACGUCUUGACGGUACCUAAUCAGAAAGCCACGGCUAACUACGUG